CAGUAACAGUUAAUGAGCAACAAUCACCCAGUGGCACUAUGUUUUCGAGUGGUGGUGAAGCUGCUUUUGGUUCUUGGAACUUAACUCAACCAUUCGCCGGGGACUACCAACUGAGUUCAGCUAAUCCGACUUCAUAUUCAUCAACAAAAGGAAACCCAUUCACGUAAAGGCAAGAAAUUGACUUUUCUUUUCAGCCUAUGAAGAUAUAAUGUACAAAACCAAACCAAUCAAUCAAGUCCUUGUUUACUACCUGGUUUGAUGAAAGAUCAAAUGAUACCAACCAUUUCAGUCCAUUCUUAGGGAUUCUUUGUUUAAAUUUUUGUUACCAUAUUUAAACCAAUGGUCACUGAAAAAAUAUUAGAAUUGUAGUUCUUUGCAAAACUGUAUAUUUUUCAUUUUCCUUUUUAUUCUUUGUGUUGAAUCGGGCAGGAGUGGAAAACAUAUGCACAACUGGACACCAUGCCACAUUGUUUGUAUUGUUCAUGGGUACUAAUUCAUUUCUCUUGUCAUGCC